rnacentral:rRNA from 1 species
CUACGGGAUGCUCCAGUGAGGAAUAUUGCACAAUGGGGGUAACCCUUAUUCAUCCACGCCGCGUGGAGGAUGACGCAUUUCGGUGUGUAAACUCCUUUUAUAUGUCAAGAAAAUGACGGUAGCAUAUGAAUAAGCACCGGCUAACUCCGUGCCAGCAGCCGCGGUAAUACGGAGGGUGCAAGCGUUACUCGGAAUCACUGGGCGUAAAGGACGCGUAGGCGGGUUAGAAAGUCAGGUGUGAAAUCCUACAGCUUAACUGUAGAACUGCACUUGAAACUUCUAAUCUAGAGUAUGGGAGGGGGAGAUGGAAUUAGUGGUGUAGGGGUAAAAUCCGUAGAUAUCACUAGGAAUACCUAAAGCGAAGGCGAUCUCCUGGAACAUUACUGACGCUAAGGCGUGAAAGCGUGGGGAGCAAACAGGAUUAGAUACCCCGGUAGUC